CACAAGGAGGAGCAGACAGCGAUCGUCCAGAAGGAUCCAGUUCUUCCCACAAGUAGUUAACAGUCAUUGUGGGUUUCCUCUGGGCCUGGCCUUUAGGCUUCUGGCAUCUUCCAAGCCUCCCAUCCGGGAGCCCACCUCUGGGAGCCCCGCCCCCAGCAACUCUCCGGCCCCGCGUGCAGUACCGUCCCCCACCGGCAGAGGCACUGCGCGCCGGCGGCCCCACGUUCCCACAGCUCCUGGAAAACUAGGGCCCAGGGGGUUUAAGCCGCCUCCCCUCCCAGCUUCCUGGUCUGAGGGGUCUCAGGGCGGCGACCUCCCACUGAAGACAUCCCCUGCCCCGGCCUCCUCGGGGUCUUCUCCGAGGCAGCAGCAGCAGCCGCGCCUACGUCUCUGUCCUCCCUGCCUUGCACAAAGCGCUUGCUUGGGCUGGCCGCGGAAUGCCCAGGGACGGGCGUCUCUUCCCAGAGUUCCUGCUUCCCGGGCCAGUCAGAGCCGCAGCAGUGCAUGAGGCGUUGAAAGAAGAGGAGGAAGUACCCCGUGCCCGGGCUGCGGCUGAUGGUGGUGGUGUGACAAGUGCCAGUGUUCGUACCAGUUCCAGUUCCAGGGCCUAUGCCGUGGUGAAGCAAGCAUCAGCACCGGAACCAAUCCAGGUGCCACUGCUCAGGGCGAGAGCCACGGCCCAAGGAGUGGUCAGUGGUGGGGCAGUGACAGCGCUGGUUGCAAACUCAAGCCAGUUUCAGGGGCUUCUGCUGCCACCGGGCAAGGCCGAGGCUGAGUCUUCAUUUCGCUUGGUUGUGGGUCGGUAAGGGGCCUGGGAGCAGUGGGCACUGGGGCUCCGAUUUAUGAGGAGUCCAGAGGUAGCGUGGGCCGAGGGAGAGCAAAACUGCCCGUGGCACUUGUGUUCCAGUUCUAUUUGCGUCUCUUGGCGAUUGAGCUCUCAGUGUGUCCACUGUAAAGUUGAGUUUACUUUAGUUAACAUGCUUUUACUCAUAAAUAAUUGAUAGGCAUAAAUGGGCUAAAAUUAAAUGAUAAAGGACUGAGAAUGCAGCUCUGUGGUAGGGUUGUUGGGAGCAAUGCUACAUAAUUCUAGGGAAAAAUCAUUUGGUUAGCCUA
rnacentral:lncRNA from 1 species